rnacentral:rRNA from 1 species
GGCGGCAGGCUUAACACAUGCAAGUCGAGCGGUAGCAGAUCUAGCUUGCUAGAUGCUGACGAGCGGCGGACGGGUGAGUAACGCGUAGGAACCUGCCCAGUAGUGGGGGAUAGCCCGGGGAAACUCGGAUUAAUACCGCAUACGCUCUACGGAGGAAAGAGGGGCUUCGGCUCUCGCUAUUGGAUGGGCCUGCGUGAGAUUAGCUAGUUGGUGAGGUAAUGGCUCACCAAGGCGACGAUCUCUAGCUGGUCUGAGAGGAUGAUCAGCCACACUGGGACUGAGACACGGCCCAGACUCCUACGGGAGGCAGCAGUGGGGAAUAUUGCACAAUGGGCGCAAGCCUGAUGCAGCCAUGCCGCGUGUGUGAAGAAGGCUUUCGGGUUGUAAAGCACUUUCAGUGGGGAGGAUGGCCUCGUAGUUAAUAGCUGCGAGGAUUGACGUUACCCACAGAAGAAGCACCGGCUAACUCCGUG